GUUGUCCUGGAUGUAUUUCAAAAACACGCAUUUCAGGCCUUUCCUCUUUAACUUGAAGUGGUAGAUAAAAAUCCCAAAGUGAAAAUGACAAGAUAGCAUUGUGACAUUGACUUACAAAGGCAUAAGGAAUCUAUAGAUGCCCCUACAUGUCAGCUCCCAAGGCAAAUAUUGCAGCUGUCGUACCCAACAUCCAAGAGCUGAGUAGAUUUCGUCAAAACCUCGAUUCACUGCAAUGCUUAUGGAAACAGCUGUUCUAGAUUAGCCCUGUGUGAACUACUGCCAAUCCUCCCUCUUUUUGCUGAGGAAGACUGGCCCUGAGCUAACAUCCGUGACCAUCUUCCUCUACUUUAUAUGUGGGACGCCUACCGCAGCGUGGCUUUUGCCAAGCGGUGCCACGUCUUCACCCGGGAUCCGAACCUGCAAACCCCGGACUGCCGAGAAGCAGAAUGUGUGAACUUAACCGCUGUGCCACCAGGCCGGCCCUCAAUAAAUAUUAACGGGACGAGUCAAUAAAUAGUUUCUUCCACAGAAGAGUUGAGUCACAUUUCCUUGUCUAAAUAAAGAGUUUUCUGUAAUGCUUAUUUGGCUCACUUUUGACUUCACUUGUAUUCUGCACCAAGGCUUACGGCCUGGGGUAGACUGGGGGACAAAAUCCGAC
rnacentral:lncRNA from 1 species